rnacentral:rRNA from 1 species
AGAGUUUGAUCCUGGCUCAGAAUGAACGCUGGCGGCAUGCCUUACACAUGCAAGUCGAACGGCAGCAUGACCUAGCUUGCUAGGUUGAUGGCGAGUGGCGAACGGGUGAGUAAUGCAUCGGAACGUGCCUUUUAGUGGGGGAUAACGUAGCGAAAGUUACGCUAAUACCGCAUAUUCUCUGAGGAGGAAAGCAGGGGACC